AACAACGCUGGCGGCAGGCUUACACCUGCAAGUCGAGCGCACUCUUCGGAGUGAGCGGCGGACGGGUUAGUAACGCGUGGGAAUGUACCCAGAUCUAAGGAAUAGCAACUGGAAACGGUGAGUAAUACCUUAUACGCCCUUCGGGGGAAAGAUUUAUCGGAUUUGGAUCAGCCCGCGUUAGAUUAGAUAGUUGGUGGGGUAAUGGCCUACCAAGUCUACGAUCUAUAGCUGGUUUUAGAGGAUGAUCAGCAACACUGGGACUGAGACACGGCCCAGACUCCUACGGGAGGCAGCAGUGGGGAAUCUUGGACAAUGGGCGCAAGCCUGAUCCAGCCAUGCCGCGUGAGUGAUGAAGGCCUUAGGGUCGUAAAGCUCUUUCGCCAGGGAUGAUAAUGACAGUACCUGGUAAAGAAACCCCGGCUAACUCCGUGCCAGCAGCCGCGGUAAUACGGAGAGGGGUUAGCGUUGUUCGGAAUUACUGGGCGUAAAGCGUACGUAGGCGGGUUGUUACAGUUAGAGGUGAAAUCCCAGGGGCUCAACACCUGGAACUGCCUUUAAUACUGGCAAACUAGA
rnacentral:rRNA from 1 species